AGAGUUUGAUCAUGGCUCAGGACGAACGCUGGCGGCGUGCCUAACACAUGCAAGUCGAGCGGAGAUAAGCGGAUGGUAACUGAAGCUUAUCUUAGCGGCGGACGGGUGAGUAACACGUGGGCAACCUGCCUCGAAGUGGGGGAUAGCACCGAGAAAUCGGUGCUAAUACCGCAUAACAUACAGACAUCACCUGGUGACUGUAUCAAAGGAGUAAUCCGCUUUGAGAUGGGCCCGCGGCUGAUUAGCUAGUUGGUGAGGUAAUGGCUCACCAAGGCGACGAUCAGUAGCCGACCUGAGAGGGUGACCGGCCACACUGGAACUGAGACACGGUCCAGACUCCUACGGGAGGCAGCAGUGGGGAAUAUUGCGCAAUGGGGGAAACCCUGACGCAGCAACGCCGCGUGGAGGAAGAAGGUCUUCGGAUUGUAAACUCCUGUCUUCUGGGACGAUAAUGACGGUACCAGAGGAGGAAGCCACGGCUAACUACGUGCCAGCAGCCGCGGUAAUACGUAGGUGGCGAGCGUUGUCCGGAAUUACUGGGCGUAAAGGGCGCGUAGGCGGCUCUUUAAGUCAGAUGUGAAAACCCAGGGCUUAACCUUGGGAGUGCAUUUGAAACUGAAGGGCUCGAGUGCAGGAGAGGUAAGUGGAAUUCCUAGUGUAGCGG
rnacentral:rRNA from 1 species